rnacentral:rRNA from 1 species
GGGCCCGCACAAGCGGUGGAGCAUGUGGUUCAAUUCGACGCAACGCGAAGAACCUUACCUGGGCUCGAACGGCUUUCGACAAGCUGUAGAAAUAUGGCCUUCUCGCAAGAGACGGAAGUCGAGGUGCUGCAUGGCUGUCGUCAGCUCGUGUCGUGAGAUGUUGGGUUAAGUCCCGCAACGAGCGCAACCCUCGUCCUGUGUUGCUACCCGCAAGGGGCACUCUCAGGAGACCGCCGGCGAUAAGCUGGAGGAAGGUGGGGAUGACGUCAAGUCAUCAUGGCCUUUAUGUCCAGGGCUACACACGUGCUACAAUGGACGGUACAAACCGCUGCAAACCCGCGAGGGGGAGCUAAUCGGAGAAAACCGUUCUCAGUUCGGAUCGCAGGCUGCAACUCGCCUGCGUGAAGCUGGAAUCGCUAGUAAUGGCGUAUCAGAACGACGCCGUGAAUACGUUCCCGGGCCUU